rnacentral:lncRNA from 1 species
AGAAGCCCCUGGGAGCUAUUAAGCUCAGCCAUUGGCAGAGUCAUUUUGCACUGCAAACUUCAUUACAGUGAUUCCAGAGACAGUACUUUAAAAUGAACUUUGGAUAAUGUUGCAGUUGAGAGUUUUCUGCACUCAAGAAAUGCACCACAACAGCACAGACUGGGGUGAGACAAGAAGGAGCAGAGGGGCACCAGAAGCAGCCUAGGAAACUUAGAGCGUUGCAAGAAAGAGAGGACUCUAGACUGCGAAACAGCGUGUCCUCUUCGCUGUGCUUGUCAAAAGGAAAUUGUGUAACUCUGGAAUUUUAGAGGGGCAUUCUGUCCUUGUUUAUAGAUUCACUCAGAAAAUUGUAUUAUGGAACACAGUUUCCUUCCCAAGUAUAGAGUUUGAGCAAAAGGGUAAGUAUUCUUUUUUAGAAAUUAAUUUUGUAAUUAAUUUUGUAAAUUAAUUUUAAUUUAUAUUUU